rnacentral:lncRNA from 10 species
GGACCCAGGAGUUUAAGUUGUGUGAGAAUCUGCAAGGAGAAUGCCCACCACCCCCCUCAGAGCUGAAUUCUGUGGAGUACAAAUGUGAACAAGGAUAUGGGAUUGGUGCAGUGUGUUCCCCAUUGUGUGUAAUCCCCCCCAGUGACCCCGUGAUGCUACCUGAGAAUAUCACUGCUGACACUCUGGAGCACUGGAUGGAACCUGUCAAAGUCCAGAGCAUUGUGUGCACUGGCCGGCGUCAAUGGCACCCAGACCCCGUCUUAGUCCACUGCAUCCAGUCAUGUGAGGUAAGAUAGCCUCCCCUUCCCCAACUCAGACUAGAGAACUCAGGUGGAUUUAACUUAUGGAGCUUGAAUCCUUCUAAUUUAGGACCUGGUCCCUCUCCUAUUCCUCUGUCCUUUGUUUAACUUCUUAAAUUAAGUUGGUUCCACGAUCUUAAAUUUACAGAAAUUAGGAGUUCUGAUUUUUGUUUUGUUUUAGCAAAAUCUUUGGAGAUCCACUUUAAAUGACUUAAUAAAAGCUAACUUAAAAAGCAAGUCAGAAUUAUUUAUGGUUUUGGGAUUCUGUAACUGGGCCUUGUUUGAGCUUAAUUCACUCAGGGUUUUGGAGACUGAUGGCCCACUGACAGGUUUAUUUGGCCAGCACAAUGUCUAAAACCAAUUUUCUUUUUGGUUGCCAAUGUUUAAAAAUUAGGAUUUUUACAUAAAAUUCAUAUGUGCAUAUAUAACAUUACACACAUAUGCACACAUCCC